rnacentral:tRNA from 1 species
GGAUUGUGGCUCAGUGGUAGAGCGCUUGCCUAGCAAAUGUGGGCACUGGGUUUGAUCCUCAGCACCA